GUAAAUUUAGUUUAACCAAAACUUUAGAUCGUGACUCUAACAAUAGGAGUUAAAAUCCCCUAAUUUACC
rnacentral:tRNA from 1 species